rnacentral:rRNA from 1 species
GAUGAACGCUAGCGGCAGGCUUAAUACAUGCAAGCCGAGGGGCAGCAGGAGUAGCAAUACUUUCUGGCGACCGGCAAACGGGUGCGGAACACGUACACAAACUUCCUUCAAGCGGGGAAUAGCGCAGAGAAAUUCGGAUUAAUAUCCCAUAAUAUAUAGUAUAGGCAUCUACAUAAUAUUAAAGCUUAGGCACUUGAUGAUGGGUGGGCGUGUGGUUAGGUAUUUGGUGAGGUAAUGGCUCACCAAGCCUACGAUCAUUAGCUGAUGUGAGAGCAUGAUCAGCGACACGGGCACUGCGACACGGGCCCGACGCCGACGGGAAGCAGCCGUAAGGAAUCAUGGACAAUGGGCGAAAGACUGGUGCAGCCAUGCCGCGUGAAGGAUUAAGGUCCUCUGGAUUGUAAACUUCUUUUAAAUGGGACUAAUAAAGGCAACUCUUUGUCAAUUGACAGUACCAUAUGAAUAGGAACCGGCUAACUCCGUGCCAGCCGCCGCCGUAAGAC